GACGUAGGGCGCGAGCGUUGUCCGGAUUUAUUGGGCGUAAAGAGCUCGUAGGCGGUUUGUCGCGUCGUCCGUGAAAACUCACAGCUUAACUGUGAGCUUGCGGUCGAUACGGGCAGGCUAGAGUUCGGUAGGGGAGACUGGAAUUCCUGGUGUAGCGGUGAAAUGCGCAGAUAUCAGGAGGAACACCGGUGGCGAAGGCGGAUCUCUGGGCCAUUACUGACGCUGAGGCACGAAAGCUAGGGGAGCAAACAGG
rnacentral:rRNA from 1 species